AUGUGUGUUGGCUCCAACAAUUCUCAUUGGUCUCAAACCAAUUAGAUGCAUUUCGAUGAUCAUGAGUUUGAGGUGGACGAGGAUGGUGAGGGCAUCAUCGAUGCAUCAAAAGGAAGAGGGGGCAACUACACCAUGGACAAAGACAUCUUGCUAUGCAAUACUUGGUUGCAAGUGUCGAGGGAUCCCUCCGUUGGAGCGAUGAGAAGCAAAAGGAGUAAAUCAAUCUUGCCCGUGAAGAAGUCUUGGUCCAAAAAAGAGCCAUGGUUGGCAUGGGCGGCAUGGGUGGCUUGGGCAGCAUGGGCGGCAUGGGCGCCAUGGGAGGCAUGUGCGCCAUGGGAGGCAUCGGUGGCUUCGGAGCUACCAUGGGCGGUAUGGGAGGCAUGGGUGGCUUCGGAGCUACCAUGGGGGCCAUGGGAGGCAUGUGUGGCUUUGGAGCUACCAUGGGAGGCAUGA
rnacentral:rRNA from 1 species